UACGUAGGUCCCGAGCGUUGUCCGGAUUUAUUGGGCGUAAAGCGAGCGCAGGCGGUUUAUUAAGUCUGGCGUAAAAGGCAGUGGCUCAACCAUUGUAUGCAUUGGAAACUGGUAGACUUGAGUGCAGGAGAGGUGAGUGGAAUUCCAUGUGUAGCGGUGAAAUGCGUAGAUAUAUGGAGGAACACCGGUGGCGAAAGCGGCUCUCUGGCCUGUAACUGACACUGAGGCUCGAAAGCGUGGGGAGCAAACAGG
rnacentral:rRNA from 1 species